GGGGACUCAUCAGUCAAUGGUGCGUUUGUGUCGUAAGGCACAAAAUGAACGGGAUGAACUCAGGGAACCCUUCCAGCAUAAGCUGAAGGCAAUCCUGAACCAAGCCGGCGGUACACCGCCGGAAGGCGCAGAGACUACCUGGGGGCUAGAGCGCCCUUAAUAACAGGCAAGAGCGUCCCGCAUCCUUGGCAAUGCAAGGAUGAUGAGAUAGUCCACUCCCGGCAGAAACGCCGGG
rnacentral:ncRNA from 1 species